CGACGGCGCCUUGCAGCACUUGCGGAGCUUGGCACUGAGAAUCUGGGACAGGUUGGCAGUGGAGGAGCCACCACCAAUGUUGCUGCGAGCGUCCCUUCCCACAGCUGGAGCAGGCUCGCCUGUGCUACUCCUUUGGACGGGGAAGUUGGUCUUGGCGUUGCGGCCACUCAUCAGCACAGCAGCCUCGUCAUACGCCCUCGCUGCCUCCUCUGCCGUCUCGAAGAGCGACUGGGCCAAUCAUGCGGUUGAGUGCCAUUGGACGCAUGGACAACCGCACGACAUAUAUGGUAAGACUUAUGUUGAAAAAUUGUGUAUUAGAAUAUCUUGUGCGUUUUCGCGAGAUAGCGUCUUCAAAUCUCUUUUGCUUCAUUUGGAAUCUCUCGCCCUGUUGCAUCACCCCUCUAGAAUGUAUAUAAUUGUAGGAUGUUGAAAUUUACAAGGAAGUGUUCUUUAAGUGAGUAUGAAUUGUGUUUAGAGUGAUUUCAGUGAGACCUGUAAGAGAAUUGACAAGUUUGCCUUUGCGCUGGGAUGUUAGCUCUGAAAUUGCUUGGAGUUGGUUGGCAUUUAAGCUUGUCUGAGGUAGCUGCAGGUACAGGCUGGUGAUGACGAUGGUGUGUGCUAGGUGUUGAACAAUGUUUGUUCUAUGAAGAAAUAUAUAUAUACUUAAGAGUUUUCUGCUGAAGGUGUGGACAGUUAUUAUAAUAUAGUCUAACUCGUUGCUCGGUGGGAAUUUGAUAAUAUACUUAACAUUUAGCUUUUGCAAUACUUUUCGGCAAUACGAUUUGGCAAUAGUUCUCUGACUUUAUAUCCAUAGCUUGUUCUCCAUUGAAGAAUUCAUGUUGCUUGAAUUUGCAGAAAACUUUUGUUUCAUUUGAACUUAGCUGUCUUUUGUUAAUUUCUGUAAUCACCAAUGACUAGAGGUUUACAGUCUGACUCAGGCCGACAAAUGUUUAUAUUAAGUCUAGAUCCUUUGCUCUAUUCCAAACAUUCCAAGUGAUUUUGGGGUUCUUUGAAAGGGAGCUGGAGUCUUUGCUCAAAAUGUUUGGUUGCCAGUUUGCUGCUUUGCACACUUGAAUGUCAUGUUUGCUUUUGCCCGCAACUUUCCUUUUUGGGUGCUUUCCUGAAAAACUGUUGCCAUUUUGUUUGGAAGUAUCAUUUCGCGUCUUCAUGGGUUUCGACUUAUGCCUGGUUAUAGAAGUUAGUCACACCUUGGAAUAUUCUAUACAUUCUCUUUAACAGGCGUACUUUUUCCAGAAAGGGAAAAAAAGGGGAUGUAAUGGGCGUGCUCAUAGUAUCGGAACAUUUCGCUCAGUUUGUUUACCGUGACUCCAAUAUCUUUGCGGAGUCAUUUGCAUGAUGGUGUUACUAGGCCUUCCUAUGAUGCCAAAACUGAAGCUUGGUCUGCAAUAAAGUGGUGAGCUGGGUCAUUUUUCACCUAGCAAGCAACUGCCCCCCUUGCUACAGAAGCUAAGCAGUGUAAAAUAAAAAGUGAAUAAAAUUGAUGGAAGUUCGUUGCCCUUGUCUACUCAAUUAAUGAGAAACAGGUAGCUGCAGUACAUCUACGGCUUGGCUCCACAGGCAUGUGUCAGUCGGUCACUUCUUACUGGGUCAUAAGAAGCUUCCGUGAGAUCUUGUCCUCUGACACUGUCUCGCCUCUCCGGUACGUACACCCUUUCUCACAUGUUUUGCAAAGGUACAUGAGUCAGAGAAUAGGAGCAUGUAGUAAUGUUGCAGUAAAAGGGUAUUUGCAUUUGAAUGAAGCUCUUGCAUGCUUUCAGCCUGCCAGGUAUCUCGUUUCAAUUUUUGUUUUCCCUUUUUUUUUCUUCUCAUCAUUCGAGUUAGAAAUAUUUGUUUGGUCUUGGCUGAUGUAGUGGACAAAGGGAUAAGUUCUUUUUUGGGACCAUACAUGACUAAGCUGGGCUCCAGAAAUCAUUUCCGGCAAAAUUAUGGACCUUAGCGAGGUACCGGAAGCUGCUUGGUUUCCAAUUAUUUUUCUUCUUUAAUAAGUUAACCAUCUUGGAACAUUUUUAGUCAUAAGAAAAAUAAAUCUCUGAUAAACUAGUGCUUGCAAAACGUUGGCACAUGUUUUCUUUACACUAUAAGCCAGCCUAUGCCAUUCACAUUACAUUAAUGAUAUCUCCAUUCCUGGAGCGAUAAGAAGUGCUGGACGGCACGCUUGCCACAAAGAACACAAUCUACUAAUGUGGCGAUGCAGAGAUGGCUUCUACAUGAAACAAAGACCAUCAGUCUUGACACGAGCCCAAGUGGUUGGGCACUUUCCAAUCUCACACUAGUAAUCACUCUCCCGCUUGUCUAAUCUACACGUAAUUAGAAAGCCGGCCGGCCGGCCGGUCGUCCUGUGCCUGGAUCAGUAGAUCUGAACUGAGCAUCAAAGUGUGGUUUGGUGAAAGGAGAAAAAGGGCAAGUAGGAUGAUGUGUGGUUACUAGUUAGUUGUGCCGUAAUUGCACGGCUUGCCGUAGCAACUUCUUGCGAUCUUUCUAACAAUCUUUCAUCUUUCUAACUUUCUUGUAGUAGCUUUUGCUGUUAUCUCUCCCCUGGAAAGGUGAAGCCACAAGGACAAAUCUGGGGACAGCGCAAUAAAGCUAGCUUUAAUCGCUGGGAUCAACUCCAACCGUAUCUUUCUCGUGCGUGCACCAGACACGCGCGCCUCAGCCCAGCACACAAGCACUGGAGACGAGACCCCGGGCUGGGUCUCUCAUGUUUCCUUUGGCUACUCGUCUCUGCAAUCUGCUGCUCUCGCGGUCUGAGGCCGGAAAGAUCAGGCUGAGCGCCAGGUUUUGCCCACACGCGUGCGGUAAUUAUCGUGUCAGAGAUCCCAUGGGGAGCUAGAUUUUAUCAAGGCCUUCAGAAUUGUAGCACGUGGAAUGUAUUCCCUCCGUUCCAAAAUGUAGGUCGUUUUGAGUUUUUUAGAUACAUCAUCAAAAUAUAGGGUUAUAUCUAGAUACAUAACAACGGUUUACAUUUUGAAACAGAGGGAGUAGCUCCCGAAAAUUUGGAAGUGGUUCUUCUGCCGUCACUGCAGAUGAGGCUCGUCCUGAAAUUUGGUACGUGGUCUCAAGGAAUCUUGUAUCACAAAAUUAAGCUCACCAGAACAUCUAGAUCGUGUAUCUUGUAAAUGGAGAAGUCCAAAUCUCCGUCUAUCA